AUGAGGGAGAGGCCAGGCCUCUCCUUACCCGAGCCUUCCGUGCGCCUCCACCUCCUUGCCGGAGCAGCAGCAGCCGGCAACCACCAACGUCGGCGACCCUCCAGCCGCCCCUGCCGGCCUGCUACCUCCAGGCGCCCUUGCCGGCGACCAGCGCUGUCGUGGCCGUCCCCUCACCAGUGCCUUGGCCUCCUUCCUCGUGCACCUCUCCUGCUGCUGCACGCCACUGCCACUCUGCCCAGUGAACCUCCUCACCUCCCUUGCCCCACCGGAGCCCAAGUCCGGCGCCGCCUUGCCGCCGUCGAGCUGCGCCAUGUUCCUCUGCCUUCGCCCUGUUCACCGGAGUCCUUGCUUUGCGUCACCCCGCCGAGUCCCUUUGUUGGUGUGCCUCUACUAUGUUGCCGCCCAUGGAUCCACGCAUCGCUGCACUUGUCAUCGAACGUCGUGGCCUCUUCUGCUUCAGGCCGUGCCCAGCCCCGCGUCGACUUCCCUGGCAUCUUCUUCUGCGAGCACAACAACUGCAAGCCCUGCUGCCUUUGGUUACAGCCGGUUCAAUUUGUCAUGGUGGACACCGACGCCCGCAGAUUUUGGAUGCCAAGUUCCGUUUCAAAAUGUUUAACUACAUCCUAUGUAGAUUUCGACAAGUACCACGACGUCUGUCGAUCGCCAAGUACACCUUCGGAUCGCCAAGUUCCUUUUCAAAACGUACGACUACACGGCGUUGCGACAAGUACCCCGAUGGUCGGAGCCCUUGGAUCCGUCAAGUUCGUUUAUGAACCGAGAACAACUACCGUCUCCGAAGAACCGUGUAACGGAACCGCCAAGUUCGACUAUGACUCGUGUACGACUACGCGGGAUUCCUCGGACACAUGGGACACCCGGUAUCCGGGAGCGCCCCACCUUCUGUUGCUCGCUCCCUCCACUUUCUUUUGCACCGGUAUCUCUAUGAGCUACCGGAACCGAUAUGUUCUCGUGGCAUCACUUUCGGAUUCGUUGUCGUGGCACCCCUUUCGUUUCCGCCAUGAUGACAAAUGCCUCAUAUCUUAUCAUGCCAACAUUUUCAUAAAUAUUGCAUAA
rnacentral:rRNA from 1 species